rnacentral:rRNA from 1 species
CCUACGGGCGACAGCAGUGGGGAAUAUUGCACAAUGGGGGAAACCCUGAUGCAGCGACGCCGCGUGAGUGAAGAAGGAUUUCGGUAUUUAAAGCUCUAUCAGCAGAGAAGAAGCGAGACGGUACCUUACUAAGAAGCCUCGGCUAACUACGUGCCAGCAGCCUCGGUAAUACGUAGGGGGCAAGCGUUAUCCGGAUUUACGGGGUGUAAAGGGAGCGUAGACGGUAUGGCAAGUCUGAAGUGAAAGCCCAGGGCUUAACCCUGAGAUUGCUUUGGAAACUGUUAGACUAGAGUGCUGUAGAGGUAAGUGGAAUUCCUAGUGUAGCGGUGAAAUGCGUAGAUAUCAGGAGGAACACCAGUGGCGAAGGCGGCUUACUAGACUGUAACUGACGUUGAGGCUCGAAAGCGUGGGGAGCAAACAGGAUUAGAUACCCGAGUAGUC